UGAAUUGGUUUUACAGGAAGCUUGGUUUACCUGCUGCAAUGUUGUAGGAUGGCCUUGGAUAUGUGCUUACAGCAUGAUUGGACUGAAUGUUAUGAUUAUAAUUGCUUGCUGCAGGUCUAUGUAUGUUGCAAUAUGGAAGCUGAACUAGUGAAUUAUGAAUGUUGCAGGAUGAACAGUUUGCUAUGGAUGACUGCUGCAGCAUAUUGCAUAAUUUCAUAACCAGGUUCUGCAGGUAUGGUUAUCAUGUACAGGUUGGAAGACUUGAGUUCCAGAAUUUGGUAUUUUGCCUUUGCAAUUCUUACUUCAUAUUAUGCCUUGCUUCGUGAUUUUCAAUUCAUGGUCAUGGCUUUGUGACCCAUCUCAAUUCAUUUCUUCUAACAUCAGUUAUUAUGCCAUGACUUUAUGGAGUUCAUGUUCUGAUUUGGCUCAUGCUUAUGUAGGUCAUAUGCAUAUGGACGUUGAUUGAACAAGACAACAUGACAUCAAGUUGAAGUUUUGAAGCAACAUGUCUAAAUGGAAAACCAAAGGACCAAGAUUGAGAAAUAGGAUUAGGAUUUUAGGAUUUUAGGGUUUUAGGAUGGAAAAAGAGUUAAGUUGACUUUGGUCAAAGUUGACCAGAAAGUCAAUUGUUGACAAAAGUCAGCAUUUGGUCAACAUGUCCAAUUUUUUGUAAUUUUUGAUGUAGUGAAUAUUUCUAUGCAAUGUAGAUGAUUAUUUGGAUGAG
rnacentral:lncRNA from 1 species